GCUGGCGGCGUGGAUAAGACAUGCAAGUCGAGCGGGAUUUCUUUCUGUAGCAAUACAGGAAAAAAUCUAGCGGCGAACGGGUGCGUAACACGUGGGCAAUCUGUCUUAAAGUGGGGGAUAGCUCGCCGAAAGCCGAAUUAAUACCGCAUGUGAUCAGAGGCGACAUCGCUUCGAAAUCAAAGGUGGCGCAAGCUACCGCUUUUUGAGGGGCCCGCGGCCUAUCAGCUUGUUGGCGAGGUAACGGCUCACCAAGGCUAUGACGGGUAGCUGGUCUGAGAGGACGACCAGUCACACUGGGACUGAGACACGGCCCAGACACCUACGGGUGGCAGCAGUCGAGAAUUUUUGACAAUGGGGGAAACCCUGAUCGAGCGACACCGCGUGGAGGAUGAAGGUCUUCGGGUUGUAAACUCCUGUCAUUUGGGAACAAGGCGCGCGUAUUAACUGUAC
rnacentral:rRNA from 1 species